UUAUUAAAAACGCGGUGGGUGUAUCCCGUGAGCAGCAAAAUGUAAUAACAAUUAUUUAUUGUGGGGCGAACCACAUGAAUUUAACCGGGGUUAAGUACGGUCGGGAUUUGGGGUUACUGGGGUUGAGAGCUUUGAACAGUGCAGCGCACGAGGGUAUGGCAAGCCAAACCAACCGGGGAGGGUCUGACGUAGGGUGAGGAGAUAUUUUUCUUCUUCUGGCCUGUGAAAUGGUGAGGAAAACGUUGGAGGCGAGGGCGCGGGAGGGAUUGGAGGAAUAAAGGGGGGUUUUCUGUGAAGGUGGUGCUUUUCGGAUUUUUAAGCCGUGGCGUGGUGAUAAAGUAAGGGCUUGGUUAGGGUUUUAGCAGGAAAAUUAGCGAAAGCAUGGAUUCGCGGUCUUGUUUGGGGAUUGGGUUUUUUUGGGUGGUUCAUUGCGAGAAAACCGCAGCUGGAUACAGGUUGAAAUUUUAUACCGCUGUGUUUAUUUAUGAAAUGCGAUGACAUGGCGAAUAUUCACGUGUAGUUGCUUCGCAGAGUAAUGAUUUUUCCCUGUUCGUUUGAUUUCCGUGCUGCAAUUUGUAACAAGAAUCAAGUAAGUGUUCUAGGGGAUGAAUGAUAAGCGAGGGUUUUGGACAGGAGACGGAUUUAGGUAGUUUGUGGUAACUAGUGGCCGUUACAGAGGCCUUGUUUGCUGUCAAGAGGGUAGUGGGUUGCAGGGUGUAGCAGUGAAUGGGCUUAAAAUUGCACUGAUAAAUCUGAAAUUUGAUCUAGAAAAAUGGGAAGUGAGGCUGGUGGGGCACUGAGGUUCUGGAGCGAGGAAGAUAAGGCUAUGGUGAACUCGCUUAUAGGGCCCAAUGCCUUUGAUCACUUAAUGAUGAGCUAUGUAUCUUCCGAAGGAUUAGUGUCUGCCCUCAGUGAUGGUGCAUUGCAGCAGAAGCUUCAAAACCUUGUUGAAUCUUCAUCAGUAAGCUGGACUUAUGCUAUUUUCUGGCAGCUUUCAAGAUCAAAAAAUGGAGACAUGGUUCUUGGAUGGGGUGAUGGCUACUUCAAGGGCCCUCGGGAGGGCCAGGAAGCUGAUCAGGCAAGAGUUUUUGAUCAGAGGUUUGCGGAUAGGGAUCAACUAAAGAAAAAGGUAUUGCAGAAACUCCAAAGCUUUUUUGGUGGUGGCUGUGAAGAGGAUAGUAAUUUUGUUGCAGGAUUAGAGAAUGUUUCUGAUACAGAGAUGUUUUAUUUGACGUCUAUGUACUAUUCCUUUCCUCGAGGAAUUGGUGUUCCUGGCCAGACCCUUAACAGUGGGAAGCAUAUCUGGCUGAAUGAACUGAGUAAAUUGCCUACAAGUUUUUGCACCAGAUCAUAUCUUGCCAAAAUAGGUGGCUUUCAGACUCUUGUAUGUGUGCCAAUGGAAAAUGGCAUAUUGGAAGUUGGGUCUGUGGAGAUGAUCAGGGAAAGCAAAGAUUCCAUAGAUAGGAUUAGGUCUAGCUUCAAGGAAAAUAUCAGUAAUGAGAUUCGACCUCGACAAACAGUUAAGGUUUCUCCAUUUAUGCCCUUUUCACCAAAUCCAAUCAGGGUAAAUCCUAUAAAUGCCAAAGUUCCUCCACCUGUUAAUAAGCCUUCUGUAGAUUGGAAAAUUUUUGGCCACGAGCUCAAUAAAUCUACGGAACCUGUGGUCACCAAAGUGGAAGAAAGAGAUCGUCAUUACCACACGGCCUUUGGUACACCAUACUCUCACGCACCUUAUAUCUCAAAUGAGCAAAGGAUAACUUAUGCAACCACUAAUCAGAAUGGCUUGCAUUCAGCAAAUUGGAACCAUGCCAGUAAUGGUGAAGCUGGAGAGAUUUAUAAUACUCAUGAUCUAAUUAAACCUACUGGAAGACUUUCAUCUCUUAGUGUUGCAGGUUCUUCUCUAAGUGUUGUGUCUGCACGACCAAGUAUGAUGGAGUCUGAAGAGCACUCAGAUGUUGAAGCUUCCUGUAGAGAUGAUCGCAGGCCUGUGGUGAUUGAAGAGAGAAGACCAAGAAAAAGGGGAAGGAAACCGGCUAAUGGAAGAGAAGAGCCACUCAAUCACGUUGAAGCAGAGCGUCAACGCCGCGAGAAACUUAACCAACGAUUUUAUGCGUUGCGAGCUGUGGUGCCCAACAUCUCAAAAAUGGAUAAAGCUUCACUAUUAGGUGAUGCUAUUGCUUACAUUCAGGAACUGCAGAACAAAGUAAAGGAUAUGGAAAUAGAAAAGGAGCAACAGCAGCAGCAGUUUAAGUCCAAUGUACAAGAUGGCAGAAACAUAGAUCCCAUUUCUAACAUAGAUGUUCAGGUGAUGAGUGGAGAAGCUACUGUCAGGGUUAGCUGCCCAAAGGAAAGCCAUCCAGUUGGUAGGGUAAUGCUUGCAUUGCAAAGAAUGCAAUUGGACGUCAAUCAUGCAAACAUUUCUGCAGCUAAUGAAAGUAUUCUUCAUACAUUUGUGAUUAAGCUCGGGGCAUCCCAGGCACUGACUAAAGAACAACUACUGGAGGCUAUUUCUGGAUGGACACCUAAACAAGGGCAAUGACAGUUCUCUAAAGCUUUGCUCAAUAAGAUACACCAGUCAUAUAUAAUCUUUCUGUAAUCUCUUAUAUUGCCUGUAUGAUAGUAAAGAAUACUAAAGAAUCAGGAGGUCAUCUAUCCAUUCCUUCAGAGGCAUAUGAUGGAGGAAGCAGUGUGACCAAAUGCUUGAAAUUCUGUAAGGCAGAGCAAAUGCUGCCAAAUCAAAUUUUGAAGGUCUGUAGGUAAUGAGAUUUUUUCCUUAUUUGAGAGAAGUAUAUUAAUGCACUUGCUGAACUUUGUCAAACCUUACCAACUGAGUGGAAAAGGAGGUGUAGGUGUGUAACUCGAGUAACCUGUACUUCUAUCACCAAUCGGUUCAACUAAGUGGGGGCGUACAAAAAGUUGUCAGGAAAAUCUGGCCAACAGGUGGAUCUUCACUUGUUAAAAUGGCCUGGAUCAACAUUUAUUAAUUUUAAUUUGUACUAUCUUUGAGAAUCUUGGGAAACUGGGAAAUAUUUUCUGUCUUGCCUUUUCUAGCUAAGUUCUGCUUCUAUCCUCAAGGUACAUGGCUGUAACAAGAGGGAAGGCUCUCACAAUUUAUACAAAAUUUUCUGCUGGUUGCAGUUAUCUCCCUUAAGAAAUAUACAAACUGUAUUGAUUUCUAUUACAUAUCUGUAGGCGAAUCAGGCAGUGUAAAUCAUAGUGCUGCUUUUAUCUUUUACAAGAAUUUAUCUAACUUGUUAUGUCCAUUGUGACCUGUACAUAGCUAAAUUACUGUACUCAAAAGGUGCCAAAUUACUGUGUACUAAAAAAGGUGGCUGUAACAAGAGGGAAGGUUCUCUCGAUUCACUAAAUGUUUACUUAUGUGAAAUUUUA